GUCAAAGACCGACAUUUGUCGACAGUCGACACAAAAAAUAUUAAACUAUCACCAAAUUAUAGAAAUUAAUUGGACAAUUGUGAACUCGUGAUUUUAUAGAACAUAUAAAUUUUCUAUAUUUACCAGAAUUUGCUGUAACCGGUAAAGAUCAGCUCUCGGAGUUUCUUGAUUCCGUUCCUGAACAUUAUC